UACAGAGGGUGCGAGCGUUAAUCGGAAUUACUGGGCGUAAAGCGUGCGUAGACGGUUAUUUAAGUCGGGUGUGAAAGCCCCGGGCUCAACCUGGGAAUUGCAUUCGAGACUGAAUAGCUAGGGUACGGUAGAGGGAAGUGGAAUUUCCGGUGUAGCGGUGAAAUGCGUAGAUAUCUGGAGGAAUACCGGUGGCGAAGGCGGCAUCCUGGACCGAGAUUGACACUGAUGAGCGAAAGCUAGGGGAGCAAACGGG
rnacentral:rRNA from 1 species